rnacentral:rRNA from 1 species
UACGUAGGGUGCAAGCGUUGUCCGGAAUUAUUGGGCGUAAAGGGCUCGUAGGCGGCCCCAUAAGUCGGAUGUGAAAUCCCUCGGCUCAACCGAGGAAGUGCAUCCGAAACUGCGGGGCUCGAGUAUGGAAGAGGGUCGCAGAAUUCCCGGUGUAGAGGUGAAAUUCGUAGAUAUCGGGAGGAAUACCAGUGGCGAAGGCGGCGACCUGGGCCAAUACUGACGCUGAGGUGCGAAAGCGUGGGGAGCAAACAGG